GACGAACGCUGGCGGCGUGCCUAAUACAUGCAAGUAGAACGCUGAAGAGAGGAGCUUACUCUUCUUGGAUGAGUUGCGAACGGGUGAGUAACGCGUAGGUAACCUGCCUUGUAGCGGGGGAUAACUUUUGGAAACGAUAGCUAAUACCGCAUAACAAUGGAUGACACAUGUCUUUUAUUUGAAAGGGGCAAUUGCUCCACUACAAGAUGGACCUGCGUUGUAUUAGCUAGUAGGUUAGGUAAUGGCUCACCUAGGCGACGAUACAUAGCCGACCUGAGAGGGUGAUCGGCCACACUGGGACUGAGACACGGCCCAGACUCCUACGGGAGGCAGCAGUAGGGAAUCUUCGGCAAUGGGGGCAACCCUGACCGAGCAACGCCGCGUGAGUGAAGAAGGUUUUCGGAUCGGAAAGCCCUGUUGUAAGUCAAGAACGGGUGUGAGAGUGGAAAGUUCACACUGUGACGGUAGCUUACCAGAAAGGGACGGCUAACUACGUG
rnacentral:rRNA from 1 species